AUGGUGUUUUAACACCCAGCUAUACUAAGGGCUGUAACAGAUUAUUCUGUUGGGACUACCGCAAUCCUAAGCCCUUAGUUUUGCU
rnacentral:ncRNA from 1 species